AGGUCCGGCCUGCCCACUGAGGGAUUAAAUGGCCGCGGUAUAUUGACCGUGCAAAGGUAGCAUAAUCAUUAGUUUUUUAAUUGAAAGCUUGAAUGAAAGGUUUGAUGAGAAAAAGACUGUCUCUGUGAAAGUUUAUUAGAAUUUUAUUUUUAAGUAAAAAAGCUUAAAUUUGUAUAGAAGACGAGAAGACCCUAUAGAGUUUUAUAUGCAUUGAGGAUAAAGGAUUUUUGGAUCUAUAGGUUUAUUUGCUAGGUGCGUAUUUGGUUGGGGUGAUAGAAAAAUUUAAUUAACUUUUUUUGGAGGUUGAACACUGAUUAGUGAUUAUAUGAUCCUAAAGUUUAGAUUAUAAGAUUAAAUUACCUUAGGGAUAACAGCGUAAUUUUUUUUAGAGUUCUUAUCGAAAAAAAUGUUUGCGACCUCGAUGUUGGAUUAAAAUUAAUUUUUGGCGUAGAAGCUGAAGGAUUGGGUCUGUUCGACCUUUAAAAUUUUACAUGAUCUGAGUUUAAACCGGUGUGAG
rnacentral:rRNA from 1 species